rfam:Oryza glumipatula chromosome 3, whole genome shotgun sequence.
UUUAAGUGCAACUAUAAGUUUUUGUGCCCAACUUUAAUCGACUAUCUUAUUUAAAAAUUUUCUAUAAUUAGUAUUUUUAUUGUUGUGAGAUGAUAAAAUAUGGACAGUACUUUACUACUUUAUAUGUGACUUGUCUUUUAAAUUUUUCAAAAAAAUUUCAAAUAAAACGGACGGUCAAAAUUGUGCACGAAAAAUCAUGGCUGCAAUUAAA